rnacentral:rRNA from 1 species
GGGUCCGGACACACUGAGGAUUGACAGGCAAUUAUUGUGCUUUGUAGCCUUUUUUAAGUUGCUUACACAACAACAAAUUAUGCUAGUCCUUUCAUGAUUAUGUGAUAGGUGGUGCAUGGCCGUUCUUAGUUCGUGGAGUGAUCUGUCUGCUUAAUUGCGUUUCAUCAGGGACCAUGUUUAUUUAUGUACUUUCUUACUCGCUUUUUAAGCACUUUUUGUGUUUUUUAAGCUUGUACUUUAGUGCAAUUGGUCCUGAAAGCAACGAACGUGACCGCAUCCUCUUGUUGCCUUUUUAACUUGAGUUGUUUACACUUCUCAUAACAUAAGAGGCUUUCCUAAAACUAGAGGGACCGCUGCGACUUUUUUAAACCAGAGGAAGGUUGCGGCAAUAACAGGUCUGUGAUGCCCUUAGAUGUUCCGGGCUGCACACGUGCUACAAUGAUUAUUGCAGUGAGCAUCUCAUUUUAUUUUUUGUGCUUGUCUUGUCUGACUCUUUUACGAGGGAAAGACGACAGCCUUAGCCUGCUUCGAAAGUUCGCAGGU